GCGGCCUGCUGGCCCCGCCUGCCCUGGGCAGUGAAGGGCUUAGCACCUGGUCCAGCAGCUGCUGUGCUCGAGUUCUCGCGGGGCCUUAGCUGCCUCCCCGCGGGGCAGGGCUUGGGACCUGCAGCCCGCCAUGCCUGAGCUUCCCCCCGCCCCCGCCGUGGGCUCCUGUGCGGCCCGAGCCUCCCCGACGAGCGCCGCCCCCUGCUCCACGAUGCCCAGUCCCAUCGACCACCCAAGGGCUGAGGAGUGCGGGCUCACGGUUACAGGAUUCCCAUUUCAGAACUACGACCAUUUGAAAAAUAGAAGAUUUAAAGAUUGACGCAAAGUGCAUGUACCAUGAUACACCAGGUCUCAUCUCCUGAAUAUUUGUCCUGCCCUGAGUUUUCACCUGAGGCCACCUGUACAACUGACUAGAGUAGUUCCACUGAUUGCUAAAAUGGAACAGGCAGGAUUGGUAUUGACUGUCCAAGAGCAAAGUCAGAUACAGGCAUUCCUGAGACUAAGUGAUUUAUGAAGAAAAGAGGAUUAUUUGGCUUACAGUUCUGCAGACUGUACAAGAAACCUGGCAUCAGCCCAGCAUCUGCAUCUGCUGAGGGCCUCAAGCUGCUUCCACUCAAAGCUGAAGAUUUUACUCCUUGUCUUAGGAAUUGGCUGCACCCUCUGCCAUAUUAAUUAAAUAUGAAGUCAAUCUACUCUGGUUUGACUAAAG
rnacentral:lncRNA from 10 species